CUUUCCAAGACAAACUAGAUAAGAUGCAGAUUGGAUCAGGCGAAGAUGUGAAUGACCUCAACUAUGAUUAUGACAAUGAACAGUACGUAGCAUGUGGUGGAAAUUAAUAGAUGGGAUGAUGGACAGCGGAAGGGAUAAUGAUGCAGCGGCGGCGUGACUAAUGUGAACAGAACUCGAAACUCUAAAGGAACUAGACGCUAAGACCAGCAACUGACACGACGAUGCAACCGAUAAUUCAACUAUGCAAGCAAUGAAUAGAAAAUUGCAAAGGCUCAGACUGUCUUGGAUAAAGGAUGAACAGAUCUAACUUUUUUUGUGUGGCUUUUUGUUGGACAAUAGGUAAGAAAAUAAAUCUAAUCUAGGAAAACUCGAAAUUCUCACCGAGCAACCUGAAAACUGAUACCACUUGAUAGAGGCAAAGGGGUGUCCCGAUCUUUCGAUGAGAUGAUAACUAUCAAUUUGGUGAAGAUGACUUUGACGAUCCGACUACAAACGUGCACGACGUUGCGCCUUAGCAAUCGCUAAACCAACUCCGAGAGGUUAUUGACCACGCCGAAGCACAAUCAACCUGACCACAAAGGUCUAUUCCUGCAAGCAAUCGAAGAACAAGCAAGAAUAUGAUAAAGCAAUCUGAAUAUUGCGAAUAUAGAUGAAGUAUUGAUAAAGGUGGGGAUCCAUAAGCGGUCUUGGUCUGGUCGUUGGACACAAACAAAGUACACGAAGUUGCAAUGGCUAACUUUUAACUAAACAAAUCCCAAGGGAAAAGCUACUAGAUGGAUCUACUUAUAUAGGAGCAAGGGGUGACGGCCUAGGAGGUGGGAGGACGUUCCAAGACAGCCUAAAAUGAACCCUAGGUCGUACAAGGCCAAUGGGCCCAAGUGGAGGUGAUGCAACACCUUUGGACUUGUUGUUUGACUCGGAUUCUGCUGCAGCAUCAGAUUGUUUCGUCCACAACUCAACGCUCCGGACGAAUUUGAAGGUGAUUCCAAUUGGGUUGGAAAGUGCACGAAAUCUAGUUUCCAACAAAAAAAGAAUCACCCAAUUCGGAGUCUCUAUGAAAAACUUGUGUGCGUUUUGAGUCAGGUAUGUCUGUGCAGUCCGAAUCUGAAUCCAGAACGUGAGAGACUUGGACUCUAUCUUCUCUUGGGCCAAAAGUGACGUGAGAGAACUUUUUGGACAGCAAAUAAACAUCUCUUUCUUCCUUAUCUUCAUAUGUGGAUUGUACAAAUGUCCCAUACACCUGCAAUUAGACAAAACACAAAAGUGUGUGAAGUAUUUUUGUUCUGGAUAACAUAAAUAGAUUAUUGAAUAGUUUGCACUAGAAAUCACCUGACAAAUAUGCAUAUAUGCAAUAUUUUUGGUCAUAUCCAAGGUAGUCAUGUCCUCAUCAAAUCGAUAACAGCCCUUGCAGUAUUAAGAAAAGGUCUUCCAAGAAUAAUAGACAUACUAUCGUCCUCAGGAAUGUCAAGAAUAACAAAGUCCGUUAAAAUGGUAAUGUUUGCAACCACAACAGGCACAUCCUCACAAAUGUCGACCGGUAUAGCAGUUGAUUUAUCAGCCGUUUGCAAAGAUAUUUCAGUAGGUGUCAACUUAUUCAAGUCAAGUCUACGAUAUAAAGAGAGAGGCAUAACACUAACACCGGCUCCAAGAUCACAUAAAGUUGUUUUAACAUAGUUUCUUUUAUUGGAGCAUGGUAUGGUAGGUACUCCUGGAUCUCCAAGUUUCUUUGGUAUUCCACCCUUAAAAGUAUAAUUAGCAAGCAUGGUGGAAAUUUCAGCUUCCGGUAUCUUUCUUUUAUUUGUAACAAUAUCUUUCAUGUACUUAGCAUAAGGAUUCAUUUUGAGCAUAUCAUUCAAUCGCAUACGCAAAAAGAUAGGUCUAAUCAUUUCAGCAAAGCGCUCAAAAUCCUCAUCAUCCUUUUUUUUGGAUGGUUUGGGAGGAAAAGGCAUGGGUUUCUGAACCCAAGGUUCUCUUUCUUUACCAUGUUUCCUAGCAACAAAGUCUUUCUUAUCAUAAUGUUGAUUCUUUGAUUGUGGGUUAUCAAGAUCAAUAGCAGGUUCAAUUUCUACAUCAUUAUCAUUACUAGGUUGAGCAUUAUUAUGAACAUCAUCAUUAACAUUUUCAUUAGGUUCAUGUUCAUUGCCAGAUUGUGUUUCAUCAUCAGACAUAGAGAUAUCAUUUGGAUUAUCAGGUGGUUCAGCAAUAGGUUCACUAGAAGUUUGCACAGUUCUAUCAUUUUUCUUUUUCUUCUUUUUAGAAGAACUAGGUGCAUCAAUUUUAUUUCUGUGAGAAUCUUGCUCAAUUCUCUUAGGGUGGCCUUCAGGAUACAAAGGUUCCUGAGUCAUUAUACCAGUUCUAGUAGCCACUUUAACAACAUAAUUAUUUUUCUUACUAUUAAUCUCAUUAAGCAAUUCCUUUUGAGCUUUAAGUACUUGUUCUACUUGAGUGGUAACCAUAGAAGCAUGUUUGCUAACAAGUUUAAGUUCACCUCUAAUAUUAGCCAUAUAAUCACCCAACUAUUUAAUCAUAUCAGCAUCUUGUUUUAAUUGUCUACCAAAAUAAGCAUUGAAGUCUUCUUGUUUAAACAUAAAAUUAUCAGACUCAUACAAGCACUGACUAGCAAUUUUAGUAGGAGGGGUUUCAGCUUUAUCAUAUCUAUAGAGAGAAUUUACCUUUACUACCCGUGUCGGGUUAUCGAGGUCUGAAAGUUCUUCAAUAAAUAGAGGAUUAAGAUCAUAUGUUUCUUCAAUAGGCGGUAAAUUAAGACCGUGUAUUUCUUCAAUAGGAGGUAAAUUCUUAACAUCUUCAGCUUUAAUACCUUUUCCUUUCAUAGAUUUCUUUGACUCUUGCAUAUCUUCGGGACUGAGAAAUAGAACGCCUCUCUUCUUCGGAGUUGGUUUAGGAAUAGGAUCAUUAAUUGGAGUAGGAGCUGGCUCAGGAGGUGCCCAAUUAUUUUCAUUUGUCAACAUAUUAUUAAAUAAGAUUUCAGCUUCAUCCGGUGUUCUUUCCCUGAAAAGAGAACCAGCACAACUAUCCAGGUAAUCUCUGGAGGCAUCGGUUAGUCCAUUAUAAAAGAUAUCAAGUAUUUCAUUUUUCUUAAGAGGAUGAUCAGGCAAAGCAUUAAGUAACUUGAGAAGCCUCCCCCAAGCUUGUGGGAGACUCUCUUCUUUAAUUCGCACAAAGUUGUAUAUUUCCUUUAAAGCAGCUUGUUUCUUAUGAGCAGGGAAAUAUUUAGUAGAGAAGUAGUAAAUCAUAUCCUGGGGACUACGCACACAACCAUAUCUUAGCAUCACCCUUUAGUGAGAAUGGAAAUAUUUUAAGGAUAUAAAAGUAACGAGUUCUGUCAUCAUUAGUGAACAGGGUAGCUAUAUCAUUUAAUUUAGUAAGAUGUGCCACAACAGUUUCAGAUUCAUAACCAUGAAAAUGAUUAGAUUCAACCAAAGUAAUUAUAUUAGGAUCAACAAAGAAUUCAUAAUCCUUAUCAGUAACAAAGAUGGGUGAAGUAGCAAAAGCAGGGUCAGGUUUCAUUCUAGCAUUUAGAGAUUGCUUACUCCAUUUAGCUAAUAAUCUUUUGAGUUCAUAUCUGUCUUUGCAAGCUAAAAUAGCUAAAGAAGCUUCUUGAUCAAAUAAAUAACCCUCAGGAAUAACAAGUGAUUCUUCAUCAUCACUUUCAUCAUCAUAAUCAGAUUCAAUAUUUUCAAUCUCUCUAGCCCUAGCAAGUCGUUCCUCGAGAAAAUCACCAAGUGGCACAGUAGUAUCAAGCAUAUAAGUAGUUUCAUCAUAAGUAUCAUGUAUAGCAGAAGUAGCAUCAUCAAUAACAUGCGACACAUCAGAAGCAGGUUUCGGUGUCGCAAGCUUACUCAUAAUAGAAGGUGAAUCAAGUGCAGAGCUAGAUGGUAGUUCCUUACCUCCCCUCGUAGUUGAGGGAUAAAUUGUUGUCUUAGCGUCUUUCAAAUUCUUCAUAGUGUCCAGCAGAUAUAAAUCCCAAGUGACUCAAAGAAUAGAUCUAUGAUCCCCGGCAACGGCGCCAGAAAUUAGUCUUGAUAACCCAGAAGUAUAGGGGAUGGCAACAGCUUUCGAGGGUAGAGUAUUCAACCCAAAUUUAUUGAUUCGACACAAGGGGAGCCAAAGAAUAUUCUCAAGUAUUAGCAGCUGAGUUGUCAAUUCAACCACACCUGGAAACUUAGUAUCUGCAGCAGAGUGUUUAGUAGCAAAGUAAUACGAUAGUGGUGGUAACGGUAACAAAAGAGUGAUGAAAGCAAAGUAAUAUUUUUGGUAUUAUGUAGUGAUUGUAACAAUAGCAACGGGAAAGUAAAUAAGCGUAAACCAGUAUAUGGAAAGCUCGUAGGCAUCGGAUCAGUGAUGAAUAAUUAUGCCAGAUGCGGUUCAUCAUGUAACAGUCAUAACAUAGGGUGACACAGAACUAGCUCCAAUUCAUCAAUGUAAUGUAGGCAUGUAUUCCGAAUAUAGUCAUACAUGCUUAUGGAAAAGAACUUGCAUGACAUCUUUUGUCCUACCCUCCCUUGGCAGCGGGGUCCUAAUGGAAACUAAGGGAUAUUAAGGCCUCCUUUUAAUAGAGAACCGGAACAAAGCAUUAGCACAUAGUGAAUACAUGAACUCCUCAAACUACGGUCAUCACCGGUAAGUAUCCCGAUUAUUGUCACUUCGGGGUUAACGGAUCAUAACACAUAAUAGGUGACUAUAGACUUGCAAGAUAGGGUCAAGAACUCUCAUAUAUUGAUGAAAACAUAACAGGUUCAGAUCUGAAAUCAUGGCACUCGGGCCCUAGUGACAAGCAUUAAGCAUAGCAAAGUCAUAGCAACAUCAAUCUCAGAACAUAGUGGAUACUAGGGAUCAAACCCUAACAAAACUAACCCGAUUACAUGAUAAAUCUCAUCCAACCCAUCACCGUCCAGCAAGCCUACAAUGGAAUUACUCACGCACGGCGGUGAGCAUCAUGAAAUUGGUGAUGGAGGAUGGUUGAUGAUGACGACGGCGACGAAUCCCCCUCUCCGGAGCCCCGAACGGACUCCAGAUCAGCCCUCCCGAGAGGUUUUAGGGCUUGGCGGUGGCUCCUUAUCAUAAAACGCGACGAUUUCUUCUCUCCUAUUUUUUUCUCCCCGAAAGCAGAUAUAUAGACUUGGAGUUGGCGUCGGGAAGUCUCUAGGGGGCCCACGAGGUAGGGGGCGUGCCCUAGGGGGGGCGCCCCCACCCUCGUGGAAAGGGUGUGGCCCCCCUGGUCUUCAUUUUUGGCGAGGAUAUUUUAUUAUUUAUUGUAAGAUAUUCCGUGGAGUUUUAGGUCAUUCCGAGAACUUUUGUUUUCUGCACAUAAAACAACAUCAUGGCAAUUCUGCUGAAAACAGCAUCAGUCCGGGUUAGUUCCAGUCAAAUCAUACAAGUUAGAGUCCAAAACAAGGGCAAAAGUGUUUGGAAAAGUAGAUACGACGGAGACGUAUCAGGGCACUGCCCCUCACAUGCUCAUGCUCUGCCGUCGCUACCAUCUCUAGAAAGGACAAUUUGGAUAAGAUGAAUCACAUGAGCGUGGAAUGAAUAUCUUACAAACAUAGGGGUCUUUUGUAAAAACAAAGCGUUUUCUCGGAAUUCACUUAAAAAGGGACUGCGGGUUGAAUAUAUAAAAACACAAGGGUGUGUUUGCAAAAUUGCCAACAACGUACGACCAGAAGCACUAAGCACUUUAUUAUAAGGGAAAAAUUGGAAAAGAGAUGUCAUUUGGUUCACAUCAUAGGAACUUUUCUAUUGAAUCUAGGCUAAUGUUUAUUUUCCUUUGACAUUGUGGGAGUAUAGGAAUCCAUUUAUAUGAACCAAGUGGAUCUAAAGCUACACAAAUCAUAUCAUUUUUAUUUUCCUUUGAAAUCUAGAGUAUAUGAAUCUAUUCCUAUGAACCAAUUGGCUUUAUAGGAAAAAUUCCUAUAAAAAUCAUAUCACAUAGAGUUCCUAUGAUAUUCCUCCACACCAAAGGAUGGUUCAAUUUGCUGCAGGUGAUACGACUAUCUUUCUCCGUACACUCCUCCCCCAUCUUUAUAGUUACCUCUUGAAGAUGAAUGAAAUGAUAUAUACUGGGUAUUCUAUAUGUGCAUUUUGGUAUACGAAAACUCGGUAAAAGUUUGUGAGGUUCGAGUUUUCAAUAAAGCUAUAUGCACUACAUUGUGGAACAGAUGGAGGAGCAUACGUCAGUUGCUAACCUUGACGUGGAAGAUUUGUGUAUUGGAGGAGUGGUCCUUCUGUUAAUGCCAUGGCAAAACUGACACUGUCAGAUGGUUCUUUCGGAGUUCGUCAGGAAACAGCUUGUGGCGAACGUUUGUCAGAUAUGAUUUACCGACACAAGCAUUGCAUUGAUAUGUGCCCCCUCUCUCUCAUGCAUACACGCACCCUCAUGAGUAACAACUCUCCUGAGUCCUCCCACACCCACCGUCUAUCUAUAGGUAGACGUCAUGAUAGAGGCGAGGGUGUCCCGAUCUUUCGAUGAGAUGAUAACUAUCGAUUUGGUGGAGACGACUUUGACGAUCCGACUACAAACGUGCACGACGUUGCGCCUUAGCAAUCGCUAAACCAAUCUCCUGAGGUUACUGAUGAUGCCGGAAGCACGGUUAGCCUGACCACGAAGGUCUAUUCCUGCAAGCAAUCGAAGAACGAGCAAGAAUAUGAUAAAGCAAUCUGAAUAUUGCAAAUAUAUAUGAGGUAUUGAUAAUGGUGGGGAUCCGUAAGCGGUCUUGGUCUGGUUGUUGGACACAAACGAAGUACACGAAGUUGCAAUGGCUAACUUUUAACUAAACAAAUCCCAAGCGAAAAGCUACUAGAUGGAUCUACUUAUAUAGGAUCAAGGGGUGGCAGCCUAGGAGGUGGGAGGACGUCCCAAGGCAGCCUAAAACUAACCCUAGGUCGUACAAGGCCAAUGGGCCCAAGUGGAGGUGAUGCAACACCUUUGGACUUGUUGUUUGACUCGGAUUCUGCUGCAGCGUCUGAUUGUUUCGUCUAUAUCUCAACACUACGGAAGAAUUUGAAGGUGAAUCCAAUUGGGCUGGAAAGAGCACAAAAUCUAGAAUCCAACCAAAAAAAGUAUCACCCAAUUCGGAGUCCGUAUGAAAAAGUUGUUGGCGUUUUGAGACAGGUAUGUCUGUGCAGUCCGAAUCUGAAUCCAGAACGUGAGAGACUUGGACUCUAUCUUCUCUUGGCCCAAAAGUGACGUGAGAGAACUUUUUGAACAGCACUUAAACAUCUCUUUCUCCCUUAUCCUCAUAUGUGAAUUGUACAAAUAUCCCAUACACCUGCAAUUAGACAAAACACAAAAGUGUGUGAAGUAUUUUUGUUCUGGAUAACAUAAAUAGAUUAUUGAAUAGUUUGCACUAGAAAUCACCUGACAAAUAUGCAUGUAUGCAAUAUUUUUGGUCAUAUCCAAGGUAGUCAUGUCCUCAUCAUCCUCCCCUUUUUGAAAACAAAGUCGUCCUCGGCGUUGCUUAAUCUGAAAUGUGGCUAACAAAAGAGACAAGGUAUACAUGUUGUAUAUGUAUAUGUCAUCCAUUUUUACUUCCCUUGAUUUUUGCACAUAUGACACAUCUAUACAUGAGUAACUUUUAUAAAUCAUAAAAUAUAAAGCCAAAAUAUUAUCAUAAAUAGAAGGCAUGAAAAUAUUGUAACUCGGUUUGCACAUAUAAGUGAAGCUCUUAUUCCUAUCAAAAGAUUGACAAUAUUCAUCAUUAAACCAUCCCAACAUUGGUGAAUAAACCUUACUUCCAUCAAAUUUACAUGCUACAACAUGCUUAAAUAAGCAAACAUGCAGUAAGUCAUUGGACACAGAAUCAUCACCAAGAUUAGAGGUCAUAUCAAAAUGAUUAAACAUUAGUUCUUUUGCAUCAAUAGUUAAUUCAAUGGGUACACUCAAAAUUUUUGGUAUUUCAGUUGUUUGAUCACAUGAUGCAUUCAUGAUAGUAACAUGAUUCUCUAAAAUAGGUGACGUGCUCAAAUCAAUAGGUAACUCAACACAUGAUGUAUUUAAGUUAAUUGGUGAUGCAUCAUUCUCAUGUGAAGUUAUAUCAUCAAUACCUUUACUGUUAUCUUGUCGCAAAGACGUAGCUGAUGUCGGUAUGGACAAUGACGAUGUACCAUACACUUGAGAUGAUGUCGCACUCACAAUCUGAGGUGUGGCUGCUCUAGUAGGUGCAACGGUGGAGGAAUCAACCAAUGACAGUGAGCAUGAAUUGGAAUAGUAGUUGUUGUAGUCACCCAAUGCAUCCUCCUGUAACUGUCUCUCAAAGGUACAAGCACGAACAUACAUACCAGUAAUGCAACGAGGAAUAUACCUAAAUCUUGCCUGAAUAUCAUGGUUCAAACCACCAAAAAAUCUAUUCAUUGUAUCAUCCUCAGAUUCUUCUAUGUCACAAUGAUGCAUAUAAGAUUUGAACUCUUGGUAGUAAGCAUGAACAGUGUUAUUGCCUUGUUUAAAUUGUUCAAAUUUGUGAAGCAAUUCACGACGAUAGUAAGGAGGGAAAAAUUGUUGUCUCUUACAUGUUUCAAAUCUUUCCAAGUUGUGGGUUGGUUAUCAAUGUUUUUCUUACAAUGCACACUCCACCAAACAGAAGCAAAACCAGUAAAUGCUCUAGUGGCAGCUCGUACUUGCUCAAGUUCAGAAUAGUCAUGGUAACUAAAAAUUUGUUCUACUUCCAGCUCCCAAGCUAGAUAAAUAGCAGGAUUAAAUCUACCCUCAAAUGAUGGUAAAGAGAUAACCUGACCAUGUGCUUGUGUGUGUUGUCCCAACUCUCGUGAUGGUGAAGAUGUGUUCGUCGUCCAAGAACUUCUUUCUUCGGAACCUGAUAGAGGCGGGGUGUCCCGAUCUUUCGAUGAGAUGAUAACUAUCGAUUUGGUGGAGACGACUUUGACGAUCCGACUACAAACGUGCAACGACGUUGUGCCUUAGCAAUCGCUAAACCAACUCCGAGAGGUUAUUGACCACGCCGGAACACGAUCAACCUGACCACGAAGGUCUAUUCCUGCAAGCAAUCGAAGAACAAGCAAGAAUAUGAUAAAAGCAAUCUGAAUAUCGCGAAUAUGUAUGAAGUAUUGAUAAUGGUGGGGAUCCGAAAAGUGGUCUUGGUCUGGUCGUUGGACACAAACGAAGCACACGAAGUUGCAAUGGCUAACGUUUAACUAAACAAAUCCCAAGGAAAAGCUACUAGACGGAUCUACUUAUAUAGGAGCAAGGGGUGGCGGCCAAGGAGGUGGGAGGACGUCCCAAGGCAGCCUAAAACUAAAUCUAGGUCGUACAAGGCUCAUGGGCCCAAGUGGAGGUGAUGUAACACCUUUGGACUUGUAGUUUGACUCGGAUUCUGCUGCAGCAUCAGAUUGUUUCGUCCACAACUCAACGCUCCGGACGAAUUUGAAGGUGAUUCCAAUUGGGUUGGAAAGUGCACGAAAUCUAGUUUCCAACAAAAAAAGAAUGACCCAAUUCAGAGUCCGUAUGAAAAACUUGUGUGCGUUUUGAGUCAGGUAUGUCUGUGAAGUCCGAAUCUGAAUCCAGAACGUGAGAGACUUGGACUCUAUCUUCUCUUGGGCCAAAAGUGACGUGAGAGAACUUUUUGGACAGCAAAUAAACAUCUCUUUCUUCCUUAUCUUCAUAUGUGGAUUGUACAAAUGUCCCAUACACCUGCAAUUAGACAAAACACAAAAGUGUGUGAAGUAUUUUUGUUCUGGAUAACAUAAAUAGAUUAUUGAAUAGUUUGCACUAGAAAUCACCGGACAAAUAUGCAUAUAUGCAAUAUUUUUGGUCAUAUCCAAGAUAGUCAUGUCCUCAUCAUCCUCCCCUUCUUGAAAAUAAAGCCGUCCUCGGCGUUGCUUAAUCUGAAAUGUGGCUAACAAAAGAGACAAGGUGUACAUGUUGUAUAUGUAUAUGUCAUCCAUUUUUACUUCCCUUGAUUUUUGCAUAUAUGACACAUGAAUUGAUGAGUAACUUGCAUAGUUCAUAAAAUCUAAAGCCAAAAAAUUAGCACAAGAAGUAGAAGGCAUGAAAAUAUUGCAACUCAGUUUGCACAUAUAAGUGAAGCUCUUAUUCAUUUCAAAAGAUUGACAAUGUUCAUCAUCAAACCAUCCCAACAUUGGUGAAUAAACCUUACUUGCAUCAAAUUUACAUGCUACAACAUGCUUAAAUAAGCAAACAUGCAUUAAGUCAUUCAACACAGAAUCAUCACCAAGAUUAGAGGUCAUAUCAAAAUGAUUAAACAUUGGUUCUUUUGCAUCAAUAGUUAAUUCAAUGGGUGCACUCAAAAUUGUUGGUAUUUCAGUUGUUUGAUCACAUGGCAAAGUCAAAUUAUCAACGUAGUCCUCUAAAAUAGGUGGUGUGAUCAAAGUAGUGGGUAGCUCAUCAGAUGGUGCAUUCAAAUUGACAAGGCAUUCAUCAUUCUCAUGUAGAGAUGGAAGAUCAGUACCUUUGUCAUUACCUCUUAUGAUCAACUCAGAUGAUGUAGCCACUCUCGGGGGCGAUGUGUCACAUGGUGGAGGUGAUGUAGUCCUGACAACAACGGAUGUGGUUGUCAUAGUAUGCCUAGUAGUUGAAGGAACAAUCAUAUCAACUCUUGGAAUGUGCACCGUGCGCUUGUUCUCCUCGUGGCCAACACGUCGUUUUAUUUCCUGUUCAGCUUUGCAAGCAAGAUGAAAAAAUGGUCCAUAGGAUAACACUCUUCAUGAAUUAGUAUCUCUUGAAUAUCACGGUUUAAUCCUCCCCAAAAUCUAUCCAUAAAAUCAUCUUCACUUUCUUCUAAAGAGGAAUGCAACAAGGUAGUUUGUAAAUCAUCAUAAUAUUUUGUUACAGUUUCACUACCUUGUUUUAAGUGUUGCAACUUCUUAAUCAUGUCACGAGUAUAAUAAGCAGGGACGAAAGUAUGUCGCAUGGCAAGUUUCAAAUCAUCCCAAGUAGUAGGUAUAUAAUCAGGGUGUAACCGACAAUAUUCACUCCACCAAACCAAAGCAUAACCAGUGAAAGAACCAACCGCAACCUUAACCUUUUUAUGUUCAUCGAAAUUAUGGGAAGCAAAUAUAUUUUUUAUGUCAAACUCCCAUUCAAUAUAUAAAGCAGGUUUAAAACGGCCAUUAAAUGGUGGUAUAGAUACAUUAACCUGAUCAUGUGCAUUUGGAUGUUUGUGCACCUCCCGUGACGGUUGUGGUAUUUGCAAAGGUGGUGGCACGUCUCCCGCGAUCGACAAAGCCCAUGAAUUGACUCUGGAUCCUGUCAUGAUUAGUAGAACCAGAAACAAAACCCAAAAAUAAUGUUCCUAUAACUACUAGGAUGUGGUGGUAAAACGCUCACAGUAAAGCAAAUAUCAAUGUCUUACAAGUUCUUACCAUGCAGCAGGCGGUGAUCGGCAACCAGCGGUGUCAAGUAACUCCGAAUAUUGAGUAAAGCGAUUGCCAGGGGAGCGUACGUAUACACGGUGUAGAAAUAUGUGGAGCUGGGUUGGCUAUAUAUGGUAGCAAAAGAUUAGCAAUAAUCAAUUCAAAGAUGCAAUGUUGAAUAAACGCUCAACGACGGUACUGUGCUGGUCCUAGGCUAGACCGGACUAGAGACGCGAGCCUAGAACACUAAUAAGGUCACGGCGUAGCACAACUAGCAUCAAUGAAGGAUACUAAGUAGCUCUUGACAGCAAGAUAUAAGUGAAGAUCACAACGGCAGUGAAGAUAAUGAUGAAAAACAACUGCCAAGCAGGAUAUACAACAACUCUCUCUCCAACUUUUCUCUUGAAAAGUUUGAGACAAUUUUCUGAUAAAUUCUUUCAAAGAAUGCUACUAACUCAAGCUUUCCAAUGCAAAAAGAAUCACUCAAUUCCGAGUUGAUAUGAGGAGUCAAAAAAAUUCUAAAACUGGCCUAAAAAAUUGGAACAAGCUGUGUUCACGAACUUCGAAAGGCAAAAAGACCUAUUUAGAAGCCGAUUUUGAGGUCUCAAAUAUUGAACUAGCUUCUGCAACUAUUUAGAUGCGGCUCGUCGCUAGCUUCAAUUUGAGUACACACGGAGGCAAAACGGACUUCGUAUGAGGAAGAUACACCUGUUUUACUGAACAGUGCGCAAAACAGAUUCCAAUACGAAUUCAGAUACGAGAUUGAUUCUAGAUAGAUCCGGGUUUUUUUCUUCUCUCUUUUUUUUCUCACGUUUUUUUUUCUUUUUCUUCUCUCUCUUUUUCUUUUUUUUCUUUCUUUUUUUUCUUUCUUUUUUUUUCUCUCUCUUUUUUCUCUCCCUCUUUCCAAGACAAACUAGAUAAGAUGCAGAUUGGAUCAGGUGAAGAUGUGAAUGACCUCAACUAUGAUUAUGACAAUGAACAGUGCAUAACAUGUGGUGGAAAUUAAUAGAUGGGAUGGUGGACGGCGGAAGGGAUAAUGAUGCAGCGGCGGCGUGACUAAUGUGAACAGAAACUCGAAACUCUAAAGGAACUAGACACUAAGACCAGCAACUGACACGACGAUGCAACCGAUAAUUCAACUAUGCAAGCAAUGAAUAGAAAAUUGCAAAGGCUCAGACUGGCUUGGAUAAAGGAUGAACAGAUCUAACUUUUUUUGUGGCUUUUUUAUGGACUAUAGGUAUGAAUGACAAAUGCGAUCUAAACUAUGAAAAACUGUAAAAUCUCACCGAGCAACCUGAAAACUGAUACCACUUGAUAGAGGCGGGGUGUCCCGAUCUUUCGAUGAGAUGAUAACUAUCGAUUUGGUGGAGACGACUUUGACGAUCCGACUACAAACGUGCAACGACGUUGUGCCUUAGCAAUCGCUAAACCAACUCCGAGAGGUUAUUGACCACGCCGGAACACGAUCAACCUGACCACGAAGGUCUAUUCCUGCAAGCAAUCGAAGAACAAGCAAGAAUAUGAUAAAAGCAAUCUGAAUAUCGCGAAUAUGUAUGAAGUAUUGAUAAUGGUGGGGAUCCGAAAAGUGGUCUUGGUCUGGUCGUUGGACACAAACGAAGCACACGAAGUUGCAAUGGCUAACUUUUAACUAAACAAAUCCCAAGGAAAAGCUACUAGAUGGAUCUACUUAUAUAGGAGCAAGGGGUGGCGGCCAAGGAGGUGGGAGGACGUCCCAAGGCAGCCUAAAACUAAAUCUAGGUCGUACAAGGCUCAUGGGCCCAAGUGGAGGUGAUGUAACACCUUUGGACUUGUAGUUUGACUCGGAUUCUGCUGCAGCAUCAGAUUGUUUCGUCCACAACUCAACGCUCCGGACGAAUUUGAAGGUGAUUCCAAUUGGGUUGGAAAGUGCACGAAAUCUAGUUUCCAACAAAAAAAGAAUGACCCAAUUCGGAGUCCGUAUGAAAAACUUGUGUGCGUUUUGAGUCAGAUAUGUCUGUGCAGUCCGAAUCUGAAUCCAGAACGUGAGAGACUUGGACUCUAUCUUCUCUUGGGCCAAAAGUGACGUGAGAGAACUUUUUGGACAGCAAAUAAACAUCUCUUUCUUCCUUAUCUUCAUAUGUGGAUUGUACAAAUGUCCCAUACACCUGCAAUUAGACAAAACACAAAAGUGUGUGAAGUAUUUUUGUUCUGGAUAACAUAAAUAGAUUAUUGAAUAGUUUGCACUAGAAAUCACCUGACAAAUAUGCAUAUAUGGAAUAUUUUUGGUCAUAUCCAAGAUAGUCAUGUCCUCAUCAGAACCUGUCAUGAUUAGUAGAAACAAGAAACAAAAUUCAAGAAUAAUGUUCCUAUGAACAACUAGGAUGUGGUUGUAACGUGCUCACAGUAAAGCAAAUAUCAAUAUAUUACAAGUUCUUAUCAUGCGACAGGUGGUGACAGGCAACUAGCGGUGUCAAAUAACUCCGAAGAUUGUGUAAAGCGAUUGCCAGGGGAACGUACGUAUACACGGUGUAGAAAUAUGUGGAGCUGGGUUGGCUAUAUAUGGUAGGAAAAGAUUAGCAAUAAUCAAUUCAAAGAUGCAAUGUUGAAUAAACGCUCAACGACGGUACUGUGCUGGUACUAGGCUAGACCGGACUAGAGACGCGAGCCUAGAACACUAAUGAGGUCACGGCAUAGCACAACUAGCAUCAAUGAAGGAUAAGUAGCUCUGGACAACAAGAUAUAAGUGAAAAUCACAACGGCAGUAAAGAUAGUGAUGAAUAACAACUGCCAAGUAGGAUAUAUAACAACUCUCUCUCCAACUUCCCUCUUGAAAAGUUUGCUACUAACUCAAGCUUUCCAAUGCAAAAAGAAUCACUCAAUUCUGAAUUAGGAGUCAAAGAAUUUUAAAACCGGAACAAACUGUAUGCGCGAACUUUGGAGGGCAAAAAGACCUAUUUAGAAGCUGAUUUUGAGGCACCAAAUAUUGAACUAGCUUUUGUAACUAUUCAGAUGCGUCUAGUCGCUAGCUUUAAUUUGAGUACUUCUGGAGCCAAAACGGACUUCGUAUGAGGAAGUUAUGCCUGUUUUACUAAACAGUGCACAAAACAGAUUCCAAUCCGAAUUCAACUACGAGAUUGGGUCUAGAUAGAUCCGAAUUUUGUUUUUUUCUUCUCUCUUUUGUUUUCCUCACACUUUUUUUCCUUUUUUUUCUUCGACUUUUUUUUUACUUUUUUUUCUCUUUUUUUUCUCCGUCUUUUUUUUCUCCUUCUUUUUUUUCUCUCUCUCAUUCCAAACAAACUAGAUAAGAUGCAGAUUGGAUCAAGCGAAGAUGUGAAUGAUCUCAACUAUGAUUAUGACAAUGAACGGUGGGUAGCAUGUGGUGGAAACUGAUGGAUGGAUGGUGGACAACGGAAGGGCUAACGAUACAGCGGCGGCGUGACUAAUGUGAAAAGAACUCGAAACUCUAAACGAACUAGACACUAAGGCCAGCAAGUCGACACGACGAUGCAACCGAUAAUUCAAUAAUGCAUACAAUGAAAAGAAAAUUGCAAAGGCUCAGACUGGCUGGGACAAAGGAUGAAUAGAUCUAACUUUUUUUUGUGGCUUUUUCUUGGACAAUAGGUAAGAAAAUAAAUCUAAUCUAGGAAAACUGGAAAUUCUCACCGAGCAACCUGAAAACUGAUACCACUUGAUAGAGGCGAGGGUGUCCCGAUCUUUCGAU
rnacentral:lncRNA from 1 species